GACGAAUGCUGGCUGCGUGCUUAACACAUGCAAGUCGAACGGUGAAAGGGAGCUUGCUCCCUGGAUCAGUGGCGAACGGGUGAGUAACACGUGGGCAACCUGCCCCUCACUCUGGGAUAACUCCGGGAAACCGGGGCUAAUACCGGAUACGACCUGGUGCGACAUCGCAUCGGGUGGAAAGAACUUCGGUGAGGGAUGGGCCCGCGGCCUAUCAGCUUGUUGGUGGGGUAACGGCCCACCAAGGCGACGACGGGUAGCCGGCCUGAGAGGGCGACCGGCCACACUGGGACUGAGACACGGCCCAGACUCCUACGGGAGGCAGCAGUGGGGAAUAUUGCGCAAUGGGCGAAAGCCUGACGCAGCGACGCAGCGUGAGGGACGAAGGCCUUCGGGUUGUAAACCUCUUUCAGCGGGGACGAAGCGAAAGUGACGGUACCCGCAGAAGAAGCACCGGCUAACUACGUGCCAGCCGCCGCCGUAAGAC
rnacentral:rRNA from 1 species